GGAGCUCUGAGGGGCGGGGCGGGGCGCGCGCAGUCCCGCCAUGGCGGGCGCGGGGCCGGGGUCGGCGCUCGGCGGGCUGCUCGACUACAAGACGGCGAAGUUCGCGCUGACGCGGAACCGGCGGGUCGGGCUGCUGCACCGCCUGCUCCAGCUGGGCGUGCUGGGCUACCUGCUCGGGUGGGUGCUGCUGGUGCGGAAGGGCUACCAGGACACCGACCGCGCCCCCCACGCCGCCGUGGUCACCAAGCUGAAGGGGGCGGCGGUGGCGGGCACGGCUCGGCGGCUGUGGGACGCGGCAGACUAUGCCCGGCCCCCGCAGGGAGAAGAUGUGAUUUUUCUGGUGACCAAUUUCGUUGCCACAGCACAGCAAGCCCAGGGCACCUGUCCCGAGAGCGCCGCUGUCCUCGAUGCCGUGUGCUCACAAGAUGCAGACUGUCCCAUGGGAAACCCAGUGGCUCGUGGCAAUGGGAUAAAAACUGGGAAAUGUGUGAUGUUCAACACCACCCAUUCCACCUGUGAGAUCUAUGGCUGGUGUCCUGUGGAAAACAGCACCCUGCCCAGGAAACCUCUUCUGGCUGAGGCGGAGAAUUUCACUCUCUUUAUAAAGAAUACUGUCCACUUCACCAAAUUUAAUUUCUCCAAGUGCAAUACUUUGCAAACCAAUGACCCCACCUAUUUCAAGACCUGCUUGUACGAUUCGUUCUUCAGCCCCUUCUGCCCUGUCUUCCGUGUCCGUGACAUGGUGGAGGCAGCAGGAGAGACCUUUGGGGACCUGGCACUGCUGGGGGGGAGCAUCGGAGUUCGCAUUGAGUGGGACUGCGACCUGGACCAGCCCGCGGCCCGGUGCCAGCCGCAGUACUCCUUCAGCCUGCAGGACAGGAACUACAACUUCAGUGUCUCCCACAGAACUGCCUCCUACUACUGGGACUCCCAGCGGCAGCUCCACCGGAACCUGCUGAAGCUCUACGGCAUCCGCUUUGACAUCUCCGUGCACGGCCAGGUACCGUCUCCUCUGCAGACCCUGCACGCACGGUCCCGGCUGCUUUGUCACUGCACCUUGCUGCUCUCUGCUGCCGCCAGCCCCACGGCUCCCUGCUGGCAUCGCUGCUCCUCACCCUGGCUGGCAAGUUCAGCAUCAUUCCUGCUGCUGUGAGCUUCGGCACCGGCAUCGCGUUCUUUGGAGCCGCCACCGUGCUCUGUGACCUGGUUCUGCUCUACCUGGAUGCAAAGGCCGAGUUCUACUGGAAAGAGAAGUUCGAGGAGGCAAAACCCCCUAAAUGUAAGACUGAGGCUGCAGCUUAGGGAUGUCGGGACUGCUCCGUCACAAGCAUCAUUCACUCCAGAGUGACCCCCGUGUAGGCGUGAUGGGGCAUGGCUGGGGCCUGGGUGGAGCUGGCCCAGUUCUCCUGGCCCAUUGUGUGCUGCCGGGGUUGGGGUCUGCCUUUCCUGGAGAAACAUUUGCAUCAGCAGAAGCUCUUGGUGACCGAGCAGAGCCGUGCUGCAGAGCUGCUACAGGAGCUGGAGCUUGCUGGGAAGAAAUUGGCCCAUGAUCAGCACAAGAAGUUUAAAGUAUUUUGUGUUUUUCACGUUCCAGAUGGCCGUGGGCCUUGAUUUCCCAUGGAAAACAGGCAUGCAAUGCAAUAAAGCUGUUCAGAAAGUG